rnacentral:rRNA from 1 species
UUCGCAAUGCCCGAAAGGGUGACGAAGCGACGCCGCGUGCGGGAAGAAGGCCUUCGGGUUGUAAACCGCUGUCGGGAGUUAAGAAAUGCAAGGGUGUUAACAGCGUCCUUGCUUGACUAAGGCUCCGGAGGAAGCCACGGCUAACUCUGUGCCAGCAGCCGCGGUAAUACAGAGGCGGCAAGCGUUGUUCGGAAUUAUUGGGCGUAAAGAGCACGUAGGCGGCUGUGUAAGUCGGUUGUGAAAGCCUUCCGCUCAACGGGAGAACGGCAUCCGAUACUGCAUGGCUUGAGUGCGGGAGGGGAGAGUGGAACUUCUGGUGGAGCGGUGAAAUGCGUAGAUAUCAGAAGGAACACCGGCGGCGAAGGCGACUCUCUGGCCCGUAACUGACGCUGAGUGUGCGAAAGCUAGGGGAGCAAACGGGAUUAGAUACCCCGGUAGUCCUAGCCGUAAACGAUGGGCACUAAGUAGAGGGGUUUUA